ACAUGUCAGGAACCUCGAAGAGAUUUGAGGGUGCCCAAAGGGAACCUGAACACAGGUGCUGCAUGGCUGUCGUCAGCUCGUGUCGUGAGAUGUUGGGUUAAGUCCCGCAACGAGCGCAACCCUUAUCAUUAGUUGCUACGCAAGGGCACUCUAAUGAGACUGCCGGUGACAAACCGGAGGAAGGUGGGGAUGACGUCAAGUCCUCAUGGCCCUUAUGCGUAGGGCUUCACACGUCAUACAAUGGUCGGUACAGAGGGUUGCCAACCCGCGAGGGGGAGCCAAUCCCACAAAGCCGAUCGUAGUCCGGAUUGCAGUCUGCAACUCGACUGCAUGAAGUCGGAAUCGCUAGUAAUCGCGGAUCAGCAUGUCGCGGUGAAUACGUUCCCGGGUCUU
rnacentral:rRNA from 1 species